UGGUGUCUGUUGUCCCAGUAGUGUCCCCUCUUAACUUCUUGAGGUCCCCCAACCUUCUCUCUGGUGGGGUGAGGAGUUGAAAAAGCCCUGAUUCUGUAACCACCAUGCAUUCUUGCAAGGAGGCUGCAACUUUGCAUGUUUCUGGCUGAGGGGAUUGCCCAAGACCUCUUGCUGACUCUUGGUCACACAGUCUUUUAGCGUGCAGGAGAUGCCAGUUGUUGAGAAGCUGUGCUGCCAAGUGCUCUGUGUGGAGGACUCCGAAUUUCUAACUGCAGGGGUAGAAAGAUCCUGUGCCUGUGAAAUCAGAAAUGAAGACUCUCAUUGCAAAGAAAGCCAGAAGCUGAUAAUUUCUCCUACCAGAAGAGAAGGUUCUGCUUUGUUAAUCAUCACUGGAGAAUAAGAUGAGAAUGAUCAAGAAAUGUUUAUGACAAGAGCAAUCUGAAUUAGAAUUAAAAAAUGUCUCAAAAAAUUGUCAUGGGUUGACCUUAGCCAGAUUCUAGGCACCCACUAAAGUCGCUCUGAGCUGGGAGAGGUCACACAGGCAAACCAAAAACUCAGCGUGGGGUUAAUACUGAAAUUUAAU